UACGUAGGGUGCGAGCGUGGUCCGGAAUUAUUGGGCGUAAAGGGCUCGUAGGCGGUUUGUCGCGUCGGGAGUGAAAACUCAGGGCUUAACCCUGAGCCUGCUUCCGAUACGGGCAGACUAGAGGUAUGCAGGGGAGAACGGAAUUCCUGGUGUAGCGGUGAAAUGCGCAGAUAUCAGGAGGAACACCGGUGGCGAAGGCGGUUCUCUGGGCAUUACCUGACGCUGAGGAGCGAAAGUGUGGGGAGCGAACAGG
rnacentral:rRNA from 1 species